UCCAAUGUUUGAUCUGUAAAGACUGCAAAGUUACAAUUAUUCUAUUUGCAAAAAUUAAUAAAUCAUAAGAGAACUCUGCCUGCAGUGAUAAAAUAUUAGAAUCGCAAUAACUGUCUACUUUGACAAAGGUUAUAAUUAUUUACCCCAAGAAGGUUCCUUGCCUCAGACAUUGAAAAAGCAAAACGAAUUAUAUAAAAGGUGCUACUCACGAAAUGUUGCAUGUCAUUGAAACGAUUUUAUGAGUGAAAGUUCUAGCUUCAAAACUAUGUAAGUGAAGUCAGCAGAAAGGUAUUAUGGUGAUUUUGUUUUCUUUCUUUUUUUCUGUCCAAAUUGUGCCAAUAAGGGUGUGAAUUCAGCACGCGAUAUUGAAAAUUGAGCAAGUUGGGGGGAAAAAACGAAAGUAAUAUGGAUUCGAAAAUAUUAAGAACACGGGUAACAUUGAAAAAGAACAAUUGAAUCCUUGCUUGUCAUGUGUGCAAUGUUCUAUAUGAUAAAUAAAUACGACAAAAGUAAUGAAUAAUUAAUUCCACAACCUUGAAGAACAAUUGAAUUUACCUAAGUGAUGUAAAUACGUUCAUUUUUUGUAAUUUACUAGUACAUAUAACCUAAUCUAGU